AUUGAACGCUGGCGGCAGGCCUAACACAUGCAAGUCGAGCGGAUGAAGGGAGCUUGCUCCUGUAUUCAGCGGCGGACGGGUGAGUAAUGCCUAGGAAUCUGCCUUGUCGUGGGGGAUAACGUCCGUACACGGGCGCUAAUACCGCAUACGUCCUGAGUUUGAACGUGGGGGAUCUUCGGACCUCACGCUAUCAGCUGAGCCUAGGUCGGAUUAGCUAGUUGGUGGGGGAAAGGCCUACCAAGGCGACGAUCCGUAACUGGUCUGAGAGGAUGAUCAGUCACACUGGAACUGAGAAACGGUCCAGACUCCUAAGGGAAGCAGCAGGGGGGAAUAUUGGACAAUGGGCGAAAGCCUGAUCCAGCCAUGCCGCGUGGGUGAAGAAGGUCUUCGGAUUGUAAAGCACUUUAAGUUGGGAGGAAGGGCAGUAAGUUAAUACCGUGCUGUUUUGAAGUUACCAACAGAAUAAGCACCGGCUAACUUAGUG
rnacentral:rRNA from 1 species